GGGAGGUAGUGACAAUAAAUAACAAUACGGGGUUCUAUAGGAUUUCGUAAUUGGAAUGAGUACAAUUUAAAUCUCUUAACGAUCAACAAUUGGAGGGCAAGUCUGGUGCCAGCAGCCGCGGUAAUUCCAGCUCCAAUAGCGUAUAUUAAAGUUGUUGCAGUUAAAAAGCUCGUAGUUGAAUUUCGGGAUUAGUAGGUUGGUCAUGCCUCUGGUAUGUACUGGUCUCACUGAUUCCUCCUUCUUGACGAACUGUAAUGUCAUUAAUUUGGUAUUGCGGGAAAUCAGGACUGUUACUUUGAAAAAUUAGAGUGUUUAAAGCAGGUUAACGCUUGAAUACAUUAGCAUGGAAUAAUGAAAAAGGACGUUAAUCCUAUUUUGUUGGUUUCUAGGAUCGACGUAAUGAUUAAUAGGGAUAGUUGGG
rnacentral:rRNA from 1 species